ACAACUUCCAGCAACGGAUCUCUUGGCUCUCGCAUCGAUGAAGAACGCAGCGAAUUGCGAUAGGUAAUGUGAAUUGCAGAUUUUCAGUGAAUCAUCGAAUCUUUGAACGCACCUUGCGCUCCUUGGUAUUCCGAGGAGCAUGCCUGUUUGAGUGUC
rnacentral:rRNA from 1 species